CAUAAUACGAGUACAUACUAAGGGUGUGUUGAAUAUAAAUAAUACAGAUGGUCCGAAUAAUCCUUAUACAUUAGUCUAAUUUUAUGUGUGCUAAUUUAAGUUUAUUUGGGCCUCGCCAAUCGCAAUCAAAUUUUGAGGUUUUUGGUUCCUUGAGUUCUGUGCCGCCGUUGUAUGAGUGGUGGUGAUCUUUGUAAUGAGCUCAUCGAGAUGCUGUGCAAACGUUCGAGGCGUUUGCCCUAUCAAGAAUUGCGAGGGUAUGUUAGCCUUUACACUAAAAAUUAACUCGUGGGGAGUAAAACCUGUGGCCUCAUGUACUGAGGUAUUAUAGGAAAAAAUGCAAAAUCUUAUCCAAUCAUCCCAACCUGUUUUUGUACAAUAAUGCUUAAGAAAUUUUUCAUGGUUUGGCUGAUGAAAUUCCUUCCUUGGUCAGUGUGAAUAACUCUUGGACAGCCAAAUCUACUGAUGAACUGGCCAGCAAGAGCAUAUACAACAGUUGCUGUGUCUAUACUAACGUAAUGGAAUUGCAUCUGAAUAUUUAGUGAGAUUAUCCUGUAGGGUGGGACAGGAUCGAACAAAUUCAACGAUUUCUUUUGCCAUGCCUGGCCAAUAGAAACGUUCUUGGAUAAGCUGACGAAGUUUAAAGGAGCUUCGGUGGCCUCCAAUUACCGAUUCAUGAUGUUCCUUAAUGAUUUGGGGGCGUCUCGUCUUGAGCGGAAUUAUAAUCUCUUUACUGCACAUUGUAAUUACAUAUAGUGGAUCAUUAAAAAUCUCCCUAAGCAGAUCCAAUAUGUUGUUUUGUUCGGAAGAAUUGAACCUAUCCGAGUCUAUUAAUAUGCUGAAGGUUUUCGAAUGCAAAGAGUCUAAAAGGACUUUAAGUGAUU